GCAUUCACCUCAGUAUGCACACUGGAGAAACAAAUAGAAAAAAGGUCAGAUAGACAUACUCCAGGCUAAGGGAGCAGCAAGAAAAACUGUCAAAAAAUUGGUUCCUGGUCCAAUAUACAUCGCCUGGGAGUCUUCAGAUAAAGCAAGGCCCAUAAAUAUUUGGAAAACAGUCAUUGUUGACCUGUUCUGUACUGGAGCUGACAGGCUCCGGACGAGACCGAUAGCGGGUCCAAUGGUCAAGAAUGUUUUAUUCCCUGAAGGAGAACUACAUGAAAAUGAUUUACAGAUGGUAUUUAACUCCGAGUAGACUUGCUAAGGGACACGGGUAGCCCUGUAGGUUAAAC